GGAUGUAGAGGGUGACCACCAGCAGGGCUAUGGCGAGAACUGAGACUACACAUAUGCCCGCAGAUGCAGCGAGGGAGGAGAGCAGGGGAGCCAUGAUCAGAGCUAGGUGCUGCUUGCUGAGAGUUUUGGACAGUGUCGUAGAAAAUGGACAAUCUGUGUUCAAACUAUCUCCAUGAUCAUUUUGGCUUCAAGGCUUUCCUAGCAACCAAGAUCUCCAUAUGCAUAUACCAUGUCACACUGCUGUUUCGGGACAACCGAGAUUCAACUUGCAAUUCACCAAAAUUUUGGUCUCCGGUAUAUGUCGCCGACAUGUGGGCGCGUACCCACAGUGCUGGCUAGUACAGUGUCAUAUCUAAUUUGUGUUGUAUUUGCAGAGUUUCCCGCUAAUUCUCUGAUUCUAAUGCAGGGCAUUAUUGUAAUGUUAGGAACCAAUUUGCAUUGUUGUAUCAGCAAACAGAGUAGAGGACGUCAGGGGAGGCAGUGACAUAGCUGAUUCCGUGGGCAUGAGUUCAGCAAAACUGGAUAUUAGUUUGCUCUCAUUAACUGGAACGGCAACUUGCAUUGACAGCAAAACCUACACGGCAUACGUAGCAGAUGGAUUUAUCUGCUUGUAUUCAUGUGCUAGGCCAGCCUUAUAUGUAACAGGAGGAAGAGCUCAUGUCAUUGGAGGAUGGGAGUUGACAGGGCCGAAUAAGAAUGUUGUAUGGUGCACCAGAUUACAAUAUUAGAAGAUGCGCUGGGCCAGGUGACCAUAACAUUCUCUCUCCGCUUUCCGCCUUUUGAACCCUAAUUUGUUUCCCCGCCUCCACCUUUUAGUCUUGUGGGGCAACUAGUUUUGGGCACUAGUGACUUGAUUCAGCUUGAGUUCCCUUUGGAGUUUAGCCGUCCCACCUUCACUGCCUCGUCUCGGAGGUACGUACGUACCACCCAACCUGUCGAUAGAACCCCUGCAAAAGUGUCCACUCCAGGAUCCAAAGCAUGUGGAAUUAAACGUGCUUGCCAAUUCCCGCAUUAUGUCCAUACAUAUCUCUCCGGUUCAUACAGAGACUGUUUUUGUGGUUGACACCAAUCUUAUGGACUUGCACAUAUGCCCAGUAAGAGUCACUAGUUAGAACUGUGGGUAUAGGAUUUUGUGAAGAUGGAGUGGUAUAUAUAAAGGGCGAGAUACAUGGAGAACAUUACUCACGCAAGUGUGGGUGUUUGGUGGAGUCUUCAUUUCUUCUCCACGAGAUGAAUGCUCACGGCCUGCUCUAGCCUGCAUGUGUGGUUCUUUAUAUGCUGGUAACUUGAUAGGCACCCCUAUCUUCGGAGGGAUAUUUCAAACCUAAUUAUUAGUAUAGAAAAUGGUUUCACUAUUGUGUUGACUCUCUUGACCUUGUUUACCUCCAUAUAUAUAUGGUCACCUUUGUACAUCGGCUUUAACCUUCUAUGUCUUUGAUGUGCUUUGUCCCUCUUGUACAAUGUUUUGUUGGGGUUCAUAAAAGGAGGAUGUGCUCCGACAGUAAGACAAUUAGCUUGUUUGCCACACUGUUAUUUAUAGGUUGGCAUGGAGUUAUCCUCAAAAUGAUCUAUAUGCUACAUGUUUUUUACUUUGGGGAUGGUGACAGCCAGUUGUUACUGCUUUUAUUGUAAGAUGCUGAUGGGUCCCAAAUCAACCAGGCAGCCUAAUAGUCCUACUUUUUUAUUAUUCCUCCUUGUGCCUAAGCAUCAUAAUAAUGCUAAAGUUUACUUUGUUCAAAUUGGUCAGAAUGAGUCUGACCAUAUUUUUUCCCAAUCCCACGACACAUCAGAAAGUAAUUUGUGGGCAUCACACCGGAUAAUUUCCAUAACUAUGUGGUAUUAGAAGUUUUAUUAGAGAUCUUAGAGACACUCUAUAUUAGGAUUAUUGAUUGAUUGUCUUUCCCCUUUUGCUUCUUGUUUUAUAAAAGCUUUCAUAAAGGUAUCCUCCUAUUAUAUGAACCCCAAAAAAAACCCAGCAUUGUACAACAGGGAGAAAGCAAGUUGAAGAGAGAGAACGGGGAAGGCAAUGUACAAAAGUUCCCAUACAUGGAGGUAAAAAAAGGCAAGUGAGUCAACACAACAUACGGGCCCAGGCCACUUCGGUAAGUAAUAUACGGGCCCCUCAUCGAACACUCCCCUUAAGAGGGGUGAUAGACAUCUAUCAUUCCUAUCUUGUCACAUGCUAGAUUGCAUUCUUUAGUUCCCAAUCCUUUAGCCAAGCAGUCAGCAAUCUGCUACCUGGAACUCACAUGCUCAAUUUGACGAUCCCGGCGUCAUGUUUGAUUCUAGCAUGUUGCAUUGGAGCGUGUGCUAUGUUGAUUGAUGAUUGGUUAUCACACCACACAUUCAUAUAGUUAGUCUUCAAUAUCUUUAGUUCUUGUAAUAAAUUUCUGGUCCAUAACAUCACACUUAGCCAUUUAGCCAUAACUAUAUAUUCGGCCUCAGCAGUCGACCUAGACACAACAAUCAGAUUCUUACUUCUCCAGGAUACUAAGUUCCCACCAACAAAGACACAAAAUCGCAAAGUUGAUCUACGAUCAUCUAGGCAACUUGCUCGAUCCGCAUCACAAUAUCCAUCAACCAGGAGAUGCAUGUUACUUGAUAAUAAUAGUCCCCUUCUUGGAGUUCUGUUCAAGCACCUCCGAAUUCUGUAUGAUCACUCUUUGGUUCAUGCAUAUACCCCCUUACAUAUAUCUGCUUAUACCACACUUACUGCAAAGGCAAUGUUAGGGUGUGUAUGACGUAAGUACAACAACCUCCCAACUAAUCUUUGAUAUCUCUCCUUAUUGACUGGCUCUCCUGACUGAGUUGUCACUUUGUGGUUUUGAUCAAUUGGAGUUGAUGCUGCCCGACAUCCUAUCACUCCUACAUCGCUUAGGAGAUCUGAAGUAUACUUCAUCUGAGAUAGCGCAAUCCUUCGGCAGACCAGGCCACCUCUUUGCCCAAGAAGUAUUUGAGUCGGCCAAGAUCAUUCACUUCAAAGGCCUUACCCAAACACUUUUCCAGCCUUGCUAUUUUUUUCUUCGUCAUCCCCUAUGUUAAUAAUAUCAUCCACCUAUACAUCAAGUAUAGUGUUUUCCCUUUUUCAUGUCUUUAGGACAGUGUAUGAUCACCAUUACAAUGCCCAUACCCAUAUUACAUACAACAUGUUUGAACUUGUCGAACCAUGCUCUUGGAGAAUGUUUCAGACUAUAAAUAGCUUUUGUUUUUUGACCUAUAAAGAGCUUUCUUGAACCUGCAUACCUUUCAGCAGUCUGUGAAGUAGCUAGAGAACCUAGGUGGGAUCUUCAUGUUGACAUCUUUGGAGGAGGGGAGUUAAUAGGCCACAAUAUUUGGAGGAUGAGAGUUGAUAGGCCAAAUUAGAAUGUUGAGGUCCUUUAUGGAGCGUUGCUUGUUUCAUGAAAAAUAAAAAUGAUGGACAAGACUAAGAUUCCAGAAGAUGCACUAGAUGACGGCAAAAUUCUUUCCUCGCUUUUCGAUGCCAGUUCGUCAUGUGAACCCUAAUUUCACUCCUCGCCUCGCGCACAACCAUUGCCAAUGCAUCAGUGAAUCAAUUUAGGUUGAACAACCUUGUGCGGAACUUACUAGUUCCGCAUUGCUUACUUAUUAGUCAGCAAUCCCAUGAUUAAUUGUCAUCACAUUAGCAAUCCUAGAGACCAAACGAGCUUCCAUCAUCUAAUAACUAAGAUUAGUGAUGUUGUCACUAAUCAACCAAGAGAAGCCAACUGAAAGAAUCAUAAAGAAGCUUUGUGUGCCUAGCAAAGCACUAGUGGCCCAUUAGAAAAGCACGGACAAGCUGGGCUGGGUUGGGCCUAGAACUAGCAAGAAGGCUGUUUCCUCAACCGUAUACUUAAUUACCCAGCGAUAAGCUCUGCCGCUUAUUCAUUUUUAGUCUCUUCAUUGCCGUCUCACCAUGAUGUUCUCGAGCAUCGAUGAGCAACGGAAGAGAUCGCGCUGCUAGACAUAGACCGGCACACCAUGUUCAUCGUGGUGCUGUGCCGGUGGAGGCUGAGCUGUUGCCACCGGCACCCUCCAUCGUCAACACUAGGCCCAUGUGCUCGGCUUCUUUGCCGGUACAUUUGACAAAAAAAUGUGGCGUAAUCCAUGUGUGUACAUAGACUAGGUCUACAUGCUCUGUCAAUUCCCUGGUAGGUAUGCAUGCUUAACUCUAACAUUGCUUGUAUAUUUUUCUUUUCAUCCCCUGUUCUAAAGGGCUUGUGUGACAUUGUGCUAUUGUUGCAUGACAUUGUGCUAAAAUCCAGAAAAUGAUCAAGAUCCAGGAGAAGGGGAAAACCGAAUGUGCAUUGCUAUAGAGUAGUUACGUGUAUGUGUCAGCUGGUACACUAGACCCAGUAGCCGACCCAUAUGCAUCCAUGUGGAAGAAGAGUGAGAGAGUAGAGAUAUAAAAUAGUAAGACCAUGGAUAAUGGAAACCCAUGUGUAAGGUUAGUAGGGAGCUAGCCUGGCUCAUCACUUUGGUGUGAAGGCGGCCCCGGCCUGCAGUAGUGACUUAAUUCAGCUUGAGUCCCCUAUGGAGCUUAGCAGUCCGGCCUGCCUUGCCCUGUCUAAGAGACAUUGCCCACAAAACUGCGACUUACCUCAUGUGCUAACAUGUACGCCCAAUAAGAGGAUCACUAGUUGGAAGUAUAGAUGGAGGAGAAAUAUAGUUUGGUGAAGAUGGAGUGAUAUAUGUAAAGGGCGAGAUGCACUAAGAGCAUUAAUGAUUACUCAUAAAAAUUUGGAGUCUUCAAUCCUUCUCCUCGAGAUGAUUGCUCACAGCAUGUUGGGUGUGGUCCUUUAUAUGUUGUAACUUGGUAAUCACUUAGACUUUGGAGGGUCGAUUCAAAUAUAAUUAUGAGUAAAGAAAUUUGCUUCACUAUUUGGUUGACUCCCUUGACCUUGUUGUAUAUACCUCCUCCUGUACAGUGCCUCCCCUCUUUUGGGUCGCCCACAUGCUUUAUCCCUCUUGUGUAAUGUUGUUUUAUAUAUUGGUUCAAUAACACAAAGUUAACUUGUUUGCCAUACUAUAAUUUGUAGUUUGUCCUCUUAUCGAGAAACAGAUUUAUUUGUUACUUAUUUCACUAUGGAGAAGGUGACAACAUGUUAUUGUUUUCUGAAGAGGCCGGUAGGUUGUUAAUG